rnacentral:rRNA from 1 species
AGUGAACGCUGGCGGCAGGCCUAACACAUGCAAGUCGAACGGCAGCACAGUAAGAGCUUGCUCUUACGGGUGGCGAGUGGCGGACGGGUGAGGAAUACAUCGGAAUCUACUUUUUCGUGGGGGAUAACGUAGGGAAACUUACGCUAAUACCGCAUACGACCUACGGGUGAAAGCAGGGGAUCUUCGGACCUUGCGCGAUUGAAUGAGCCGAUGUCGGAUUAGCUAGUUGGCGGGGUAAAGGCCCACCAAGGCGACGAUUCGUAGCUGGUCUGAGAGGAUGAUCAGCCACACUGGAACUGAGACACGGUCCAGACUCCUACGGGAGGCAGCAGUGGGGAAUAUUGGACAAUGGGCGCAAGCCUGAUCCAGCCAUACCGCGUGGGUGAAGAAGGCCUUCGGGUUGUAAAGCCCUUUUGUUGGGAAAGAAAAGCAGCAGGUUAAUACCCCGCUGUUCUGACGGUACCCAAAGAAUAAGCACCGGCUAACUUCGUG